rnacentral:rRNA from 1 species
GGCAGCCGCGGUAAUUCCAGCUCCAAUAGCGUGUAUUAAAGUUGUUGCAGUUAAAAAGCUCGUAGUUGAAUUUCGGGAUCAAGGAAUCGGUCAUGCCUCGGUAUGUACUGGUUUUAUUGGUUCUCACCUUCUAAAGAACCAUAAUGUCAUUCAUUUGAUGUUAUGGGGAAUUAGGACUGUUACCUUGAAAAAUUAGAGUGUUUAAAGCAGGCUUACGCUUGAAUACAUUAGCACGGAAUAAUGAAAUAGGACAUCAGAUUCUAUUUUGUUGGUUUCUAGGAUCGAUGUAAUGAUUAAUAGGGAUAGUUGGGGGCAUUAGUAUUCAAUUGUCAGAGGUGAAAUUCUUGGAUUUAUUGAAGACUAACUACUGCGAAAGCAUUUGCCAAGGAUGUUUUCAUUAAUCAAGAACGAAAGUUAGGGGAUCGAAGACGAUCAGAUACCGUCGUAGUCUUAACCAUAAACUAUGCCGACUAGGGAUCGGAUGAUGUUAAAUUUUUAAUGUACUCA